rnacentral:rRNA from 1 species
CGUAGGGUGCGAGCGUUAAUCGGAAUUACUGGGCGUAAGGCGUGCGCAGGCGGUUUUGUAAGACAGAUGUGAAAUCCCCGGGCUCAACCUGGGACCUGCAUUUGUGACUGCAAGGCUAGAGUACGGUAGAGGGGGAUGGAAUUCCGCGUGUAGCAGUGAAAUGCGUAGAUAUGCGGAGGAACACCGAUGGCGAAGGCAAUCCCCUGGACCUGUACUGACGCUCAUGCACGAAAGCGUGGGGAGCAAACAGGAUUAGAUACCCUGGUAGUCCACGCCCUAAACGAUGUCAACUGGUUGUUGGGUCUUUACUGACUCAGUAACGAAGCUAACGCGUGAAGUUGACCGCCUGGGGAGUACGGCCGCAAGGUUG